GGUUAAGUUAGAAAGGGCGCACGGUGGAUGCCUUGGCACUAGGAGCCGAAGAAGGACGGGACUAACACCGAUAUGCUUUGGGGAGCUGUACGUAAGCGUUGAUCCAGAGAUUUCCGAAUGGGGGAACCCACUAUCUUUAGUCGGAUAGUAUCCUUACGUGAAUACAUAGCGUGAGGAAGGCAGACCCAGGGAACUGAAACAUCUAAGUACCUGGAGGAAGAGAAAGAAAAAUCGAUUUCCUGAGUAGCGGCGAGCGAAACGGAAAGAGCCCAAACCAAGAAGCUUGCUUCUUGGGGUUGUAGGACACUCUAUACGGAGUUACAAAAGAAAGUUAUAAAUGAAGCGGUCUGGAAAGGCCCGCCAAAGACGGUAACAGCCCGGUAGUUGAAAUGGCUUUCCCUCCAGAGUGGAUCCUGAGUACGGCGGAACACGUGAAAUUCCGUCGGAAUCCGGGAGGACCAUCUCCCAAGGCUAAAUACUCCCUAGUGACCGAUAGUGAACCAGUACCGUGAGGGAAAGGUGAAAAGCACCCCGGAAGGGGAGUGAAACAGUUCCUGAAACCGUGUGCCUACAAGUAGUUAGAGCCCGUUAAUGGGUGAUAGCGUGCCUUUUGUAGAAUGAACCGGCGAGUUACGAUUUGUUGCAAGGUUAAGCGGAAAAAGCGGAGCCGUAGCGAAAGCGAGUCUGAAUAGGGCGCAUAAGUAACAGGUCGUAGACCCGAAACCAGGUGAUCUACCCAUGUCCAGGAUGAAGGUAAGGUAAUACUUACUGGAGGUCCGAACCCACGCACGUUGAAAAGUGCGGGGAUGAGGUGUGGGUAGCGGAGAAAUUCCAAUCGAACUUGGAGAUAGCUGGUUCUCUCCGAAAUAGCUUUAGGGCUAGCCUCGAGGUAAAGAGUCAUGGAGGUAGAGCACUGUUUGGACUAGGGGCCCUUCUCGGGUUACCGAAUUCAGAUAAACUCCGAAUGCCAUGUACUUAUACUCGGGAGUCAGACUGCGAGUGAUAAGAUCCGUAGUCGAAAGGGAAACAGCCCAGACCACCAGUUAAGGUCCCCAAAUAUAUGUUAAGUGGAAAAGGAUGUGGGGUUGCUUAGACAACCAGGAUGUUGGCUUAGAAGCAGCCACCAUUGAAAGAGUGCGUAAUAGCUCACUGGUCGAGUGACCCCGCGCCGAAAAUGUACCGGGGCUAAACAUAUUACCGAAACUGUGGAUGAACCUCUUUAGAGGUUCGUGGUAGGAGAGCGUUCUAAGGGCGGUGAAGUCAGACCGGAAGGACUGGUGGAGCGCUUAGAAGUGAGAAUGCCGGUAUGAGUAGCGAAAGAAGGGUGAGAAUCCCUUCCACCGAAUAUCUAAGGUUUCCUGAGGAAGGCUCGUCCGCUCAGGGUUAGUCGGGACCUAAGCCGAGGCCGAUAGGCGUAGGCGAUGGACAACAGGUAGAGAUUCCUGUACCAGUGCUAAUUGUUUAACCGAUGGGGUGACACAGAAGGAUAGGGAAUCGCACGAAUGGAAAUGUGCGUCCAAGCAGUGAGUGUGAGAAGUAGGCAAAUCCGCUUCUCANNNNNNNNNNNNNNNNNNNNNNNNNNNNNNNNNNNNNNNNNNNNNNNNNNNNNNNNNNNNNNNNNNNNNNNNNNNNNNNNNNNNNNNNNNNNNNNNNNNACAGAAGGAUAGGGAAUCGCACGAAUGGAAAUGUGCGUCCAAGCAGUGAGUGUGAGAAGUAGGCAAAUCCGCUUCUCGCGAAGCAUGAGCUGUGAUGGGGAAGGAAAUUAAGUACGGAAGUUCCUGAUUUCACGCUGUCAAGAAAAGCCUCUAGGAAGAGUAGUACUGCCCGUACCGCAAACCGACACAGGUAGAUGAGGAGAGAAUCCUAAGGUGAGCGAGAGAACUCUCGUUAAGGAACUCGGCAAAAUGACCCCGUAACUUCGGGAGAAGGGGUGCUCUAUUAGGGUGCAAGCCCGAGAGAGCCGCAGUGAAUAGGCCCAGGCGACUGUUUAGCAAAAACACAGGUCUCUGCAAAACCGUAAGGUGACGUAUAGGGGCUGACGCCUGCCCGGUGCUGGAAGGUUAAGAGGAGUGCUUAGCUUCGGCGAAGGUACGAAUUGAAGCCCCAGUAAACGGCGGCCGUAACUAUAACGGUCCUAAGGUAGCGAAAUUCCUUGUCGGGUAAGUUCCGACCCGCACGAAAGGCGCAACGAUCUGGGCACUGUCUCAACGAGAGACUCGGUGAAAUUAUAGUACCUGUGAAGAUGCAGGUUACCCGCGACAGGACGGAAAGACCCCGUGGAGCUUUACUGCAACCUGAUAUGGAAUGUUUGUACCGCUUGUACAGGAUAGGUAGGAGCCGAAGAGACGUGUGCGCUAGCAUACGAGGAGGCAAUGGUGGGAUACUACCCUGGCUGUAUGACCAUUCUAACCCGCCACGCUUAGCGCGUGGGGAGACAGUGUCAGGUGGGCAGUUUGACUGGGGCGGUCGCCUCCUAAAGAGUAACGGAGGCGCCCAAAGGUUCCCUCAGAAUGGAUGGAAAUCAUUCGCAGAGUGUAAAGGCACAAGGGAGCUUGACUGCGAGACUGACAAGUCGAGCAGGGACGAAAGUCGGGCUUAGUGAUCCGGUGGUUCCGCAUGGAAGGGCCAUCGCUCAACGGAUAAAAGCUACCCCGGGGAUAACAGGCUUAUCUCCCCCAAGAGUCCACAUCGACGGGGAGGUUUGGCACCUCGAUGUCGGCUCGUCGCAUCCUGGGGCUGUAGUCGGUCCCAAGGGUUGGGCUGUUCGCCCAUUAAAGCGGCACGCGAGCUGGGUUCAGAACGUCGUGAGACAGUUCGGUCCCUAUCCGUCGCGGGCGCAGGAAAUUUGAGAGGAGCUGUCCUUAGUACGAGAGGACCGGGAUGGACACACCGCUGGUGUACCAGUUGUUCCGCCAGGAGCAUCGCUGGGUAGCUAUGUGUGGCAGGGAUAAACGCUGAAAGCAUCUAAGCGUGAAGCCCCCCUCAAGAUGAGAUUUCCCAUUUCUUCGGAAAGUAAGAUCCCUGAAAGAUGAUCAGGUAGAUAGGUUUGGAGUGGAAGUGUAGCGAUACAUGGAGCGGACAAAUACUAAUCGAUCGAGGACUUAACCAA
rnacentral:rRNA from 1 species